AAGAAGGAGAAAUAUCUCACCUGUGCCAUUAUGAUUACAGGUGCUACCUGUUGUUCGGAAGCCAUGACGAGAGGUUACAUGGUCAACAGCGGCACUGAGUCAUGAAACCGAAUAAUACGUCAAUGCUGACAAGUUUCUUUUUACACAAAGGUGAAAGGUGGCUCCUGGUUCAGAAAAUUGAGGAGGGCCUGAGAGACUGAACACAAGCAAAAAGCAAGAUCAACUAAGUGCCACCGCCUUCCUCUCAAGCUGGUGAAUAAAAAUCUUGAAUUCUUUUUGGUAUUCCUGUUGAUUUGGGGUUAGUU
rnacentral:lncRNA from 1 species